rnacentral:rRNA from 1 species
UCGCGCGAGAAAGCCCCUUCGGGGGUAAGUAAAGCGGCGGACGGGUGAGUAACGCGUGGACAACCUACCCUGGGGUUGGGGAUAACCCUGCGAAGGCGGGGCUAAUACCGAAUACGCUGUUUUUUUCCUGGGUGAUUUGUUUCACCGAGGUAAGAACCGGGAAAGGUGGCCUCUGAUGCAAGCUACCGCCCUGGGAUGGGUUCGCGUCCCAUUAGCUUGUUGGUGGGGUAACGGCCUACCAAGGCGACGAUGGGUAGCCGGCCUGAGAGGGUGAUCGGCCACACUGGGACUGGAACACGGCCCAGACUCCUACGGGAGGCAGCAGUGGGGAAUCUUGGGCAAUGGGCGCAAGCCUGACCCAGCGACGCCGCGUGUGGGAAGAAGGCCUUCGGGUCGUAAACCACUGUCAGGAGGGAAGAAAAAGCAGUUACCGAACAGGUAGCUGUAUUGACGGUACCUCCAGAGGGAAGCACCGGCCAACUCCGUGCCAGCAGCCGCGGUAAUACGGAGGGUGCAAGCGUUAUUCGGAAUCACUGGGCGUAAGCGCGCGUUAGGCGGCUGCCAAGUCAAAUGUGAAAGCCCUCGGCUAAACCGGGGAAUUGGCU